UUGAACGCUGGCGGUAUGCUUAACACAUGCAAGUCGAACGGAAACGAUACUAGCUUGCUAGUAGGCGUCGAGUGGCGGACGGGUGAGUAACGCGUAGGAAUCUGCCUGAUAGUGGGGGAUAGCCCGAAGAAAUUCGGAUUAAUACCGCAUAAUCUAUUCGUAGUAAAGUGGGGGACUUUCGAGCCUCACGCUAUCAGAUGAGCCUGCGUAAGAUUAGCUUGUUGGUAGGGUAAAAGCCUACCAAGGCGACGAUCUUUAGCUGGUCUGAGAGGAUGAUCAGCCACAUCGGGACUGAGACACGGCCCGAACUCCUACGGGAGGCAGCAGUGGGGAAUAUUGGACAAUGGGGGCAACCCUGAUCCAGCAAUACCGCGUGUGUGAAGAAGGCCUGAGGGUUGUAAAGCACUUUCAAUUGUGAAGAAAAGUUAGCGGUUAAUAACCGUUAGCCUUGACGUUAACUUUAGAAGAAGCACCGGCUAACUCCGUGCCAGCAGCCGCGGUAAUACGGAGGGUGCAAGCGUUAAUCGGAAUUACUGGGCGUAAAGCGUGCGUAGGUGGUUUAUUAAGUCAGAUGUGAAAGCCCCGGGCUUAACCUGGGAACUGCAUUUGAAACUGGUCAACUAGAGUAUGGUAGAGGAAAGUGGAAUUUCUGGUGUAGCGGUGAAAUGCGUAGAUAUCAGAAGGAACAUCAAUGGCGAAGGCAGCUUUCUGGACCAAUACUGACACUGAGGUACGAAAGCGUGGGUAGCAAACAGGAUUAGAUACCCUGGUAGUCCACGCCGUAAACGAUGAUAACUAGCCGUUGGGGGGAUUUACCCUUUAGUGGCGAAGCUAACGCGUUAAGUUAUCCGCCUGGGGAGUACGGCCGCAAGGUUAAAACUCAAAGGAAUUGACGGGGACCCGCACAAGCGGUGGAGCAUGUGGUUUAAUUCGAUGCAACGCGAAGAACCUUACCUGGUCUUGACAUCCUGCGAACUUUCUAGAAAUAGAUUGGUGCCUUCGGGAACGCAGUGACAGGUGCUGCAUGGCUGUCGUCAGCUCGUGUCGUGAGAUGUUGGGUUAAGUCCCGUAACGAGCGCAACCCCUAUCCUUAUUUGCCAGCACAUCAUGGUGGGAACUAUAAGGAGACUGCCGGUGAUAAACCGGAGGAAGGCGGGGACGACGUCAAGUCAUCAUGGCCCUUACGACCAGGGCUACACACGUGCUACAAUGGGAAGGACAAAGAGCCGCGAAGCCGCGAGGUGUAGCUAAUCUCAUAAACCUUUUCGUAGUCCGGAUUGGAGUCUGCAACUCGACUCCAUGAAGUCGGAAUCGCUAGUAAUCGUAGAUCAGAAUGCUACGGUGAAUACGUUCCCGGGUCUUGUACACACCGCCCGUC
rnacentral:rRNA from 1 species